AUUUAAGUAGUUUAAUAAAAAUUUUGAUUUGUGGUGUCAAAGAUGUCUAGAAGACCUUAGGUU
rnacentral:tRNA from 1 species